rnacentral:rRNA from 1 species
CGUCUAUAUACGUAUAGCAUAUCAAUAAGCGGAGGAAAAGAAACUAACAAGGAUUCCCCUAGUAACGGCGAGUGAAGCGGGAAGAGCUCAAAUUUGAAAUCUUCAAGGGUUUCCCUUGACGAAUUGUAGUUUAAAGAAGUGUUUUCUGUUGGAGUUUUGGUAAAAGUUCUUUGGAAUAGGACAUCAUAGAGGGUGAGAAUCCCGUAUUUGACCAUUAUUUCCAACUUUGUGAUACACUUUCAAAGAGUCGGAUUGUUUGGGAAUGCAGUCCAAAAUGGGUGGUAAAUUUCAUCUAAAGCUAAAUAUUGGCGAGAGACCGAUAGCGAACAAGUACCGUGAGGGAAAGAUGAAAAGAACUUUGAAAAGAGAGUUAAACAGUACGUGAAAUUGUCAAAAGGGAAGCGUUUGACACCAGUGUUGUUUUUCCGAAAAUCAAUUGACGAAUGUUUUAUUUUUGAGGAGUUAUGACUUCAUCGGCUUGCUUCUCUCUUUAUGAAACUUUCUUAAUGCACUUUUCGGUUAACAAGUCAACAUCAAUUUCUUUUGUUGUAAAAGGGUAUGAGGAAGGUGGCUUUCUUUUCGGAGAAAGUGUUUAUAGCCUUGUAGCCUCUUGCAAUCGGAGAGAUUGAGGUCUGCAGCGUAGAUCCUUCGGGGUUAGAUACAGUUUGUGCUAAGUUAUAGCUUUUCAUAGACAACUUGUUGACUAUGUUUAGUCUUGUAGACUUACUCGCUUACGCUAUUUUACCUACGCUUAGGAUGUUGACACACGCGCGUGCUCG